rnacentral:tRNA from 1 species
AUUUUUAGUACGAAAGGACCAAAAUUAUGAAAUAAUUUUUUUUAUUGAAUAUUAUUAACUAUUUUGGCAGAUAAGUGCCAUGGGUUUAGAAUUCAUAAAUGUAAGAAUAUCUUACAAAUAGUAC